CACUGUCCCUGGAGCUGUUCUAGAACCGUGAGGAUGUGGCACUGAGAGACAAAGAUAGUGGGCAGGGUAGGGAUGAGCUGAUGGUUGGACUAGAAGACCUUAGUUGUCUCUUCCAACCUCAGUGAUUCUGUGAUUAUAUAAUUCUGUAAGCACCAGAGCUCCUCCAAGGGCAGCCAGGCUCCCACAGAACAGCAGGCCUUCUCAGAGGGAAUAGCAGCCACAAACAUGGUUGAAAUUCAAAAAGCAGCCACUGACUUCUUUGUUGGAGAUUUCCAAGGAGGAGCAGCCAAGCAGCCUCUAUUGCCAUCUUUGGUCGCUGUUCAAGCCAUAGCGGAUGUCAGUGUUUCUGGCCUCAGGGCCAUCUAGAAAUGGGAACUUCAGGAAUUCACAAAACCCAAAGACGUCAUGUAGAAGGCUGGUUCCUCCCCAUUCAUCCUGCUCAGAAUACAAAAGUACCCAAGAUAUCCUGAGAGAAUUGGUAUCCUCGUGGAAAAGGGCUGAUCUAUGGCUUCACUGGGCUAUAGGACAAGCCAUAAAAGAAGAAAUUUUAUUAGGAAAAUGACAGUUUACCAUCAAAAAUGUUUGAACUAUACAUUUAAAUUCUUGAAUUUGGGGCAAAACAUUAUUUGCACAUCAGACUUAGCUCUCCUUAUCUCCAUAGCCUGAAGUAUUCUUAGCGUUGCCAGCUGUACAGUGCAUAUCUCAUUGCAGUACACAGUGCUCUGAAGUGUGCCAAGUAAUAAGCUAUAAAGAGAGAAGCAGGACUCAAGCAACACAAGGAUGCAAAGCAAUAUUUUCCCCUGACACCCAAGGUCAUGGCAUAAAGAAAUGUGGAACAAGGGAGCGUCAAUUUUCAUUGAAGAUGCAGGGUACAGUGCUGCUGUACCAAACUAACAGAAAUAAAUUAACGUGAGGGCAAACUUAGAGUGUCCUCUUAAAAUGUGUUUGUAAAAGUGCGUGAGCAUGCAUGAGGGGGGGGGAUGAUGCUACAUUGCUCUUCAUGGCUAUCGGGAAGACAUUGUAGACUUAAAAAGAAACACUUUUUAAAGGAUAAUCUACUCAGGAUAUACUAUAAAUACUAACACACAGUUUUACAAGGAGCUCUGGGGUUAAAGAA